UACAUGGGGUGCAAACGUUGCUCGGAAUCAUUGGGCGUAAAGCGCGUGUAGGCGGUUCGGUAAGUCCGCUGUGAAAGUCGGGGGCUCAACCCUCGGAUGCCGGUGGAUACUGUCGGACUAGAGUGCGGAAGAGGCGAGUGGAAUUCCUGGUGUAGCGGUGAAAUGCGCAGAUAUCAGGAGGAACACCGAUUGCGAAGGCAGCUCGCUGGGACGUUACUGACGCUGAGACGCGAAAGCGUGGGGAGCAAACAGG
rnacentral:rRNA from 1 species